rnacentral:rRNA from 1 species
GGGCAGGCUCUCAUGGCAAAUCGAAGGAAGCGCUACCGACGGAACUUUUCGGAGGGAAGAUGGUAAUGACUGAGUGCCCUUAAAGGUGAGUAACGCGUGGGUAACCUGCCUCACAGAGCCUUACAACAGCCGGAAACGGCUGCUAAUACCGCAUAACAAGGGAUUGCCGCAUGACAAUCCUUUCAAAGAUUUAUCGCUGUGAGAUGGACCCGCGUCUGAUUAGCUUGUUGGUGGGGUAACGGCCUACCAAGGCGACGAUCAGUAGCCGGCUUGAGAGAGUGAACGGCCACAUUGGGACUGAGACACGGCCCAGACUCCUACGGGAGGCAGCAGUGGGGAAUAUUGCACAAUGGGGGAAACCCUGAUGCAGCGACGCCGCGUGAGUGAAGAAGUAUUUCGGUAUGUAAAGCUCCAUCAGCAGGGAAGAUAAUGACGGUACCUGACUAAGAAGCCCCGGCUAACUACGUGCCAGCAGCCGCGGUAAUACGUAGGGGGCAAGCGUUAUCCGGAUUUACUGGGUGUAAAGGGAGCGUAGGUGGCAGGGCAAGUCAGAUGUGAAAACCCGGGGCUCAACCCCGGGAUUGCAUUUGAAACUGUCCGGCUGGAGUGCCGGAGAGGUAAGUGGAAUUCCUAGUCUAGCGGUGAAAUGCAUAGAUAUUAGGAGGAACACCAGUGGCGAAGGCGGCUUACUGGACUGUAACUGACACUGAGGCUCGAAAGCGUGGGGAGCAAACAGGAUUAGAUACCCUG